AGCUCUUUAUUUUGGCUUUCCUAACAACUUGAAAGCAACUAAGGAGGAUCUUCUCUGCUGGAUGUGAUAGUUCUACGUGUCUGAAGGGAAAUGAGCGAAGAGCCGCCGUGGGCUGCAGCAGUGGUUUCUUCACAUAAUCCUGGCGAUGUGUUUUGCUGAUACUUUGCACAAGGGCAUACGAGGUUGCAAAGCCACCUGGGAGAGUGCUGGAGUGGAGCAGAGGGAAGCAACCACAGCGCAGUCUGGUCUAGUGAGACUAAUGGUCAUGUCAGGGGAAAAGUCCUGCUAUGACCCAGCCUCGGUGUGCGUGGCCAAGCCCUGUGCAGACAGCCCUGUGCAGACAGCUGCUGGGGAAGGUCCAGGGAAGAACCAGAAGUGAGCUGGCCUUUGGUAGCAAAGCUGUGCUAAGUAGUCGAGAUUUAGAGCUGGACGUUCUCCCCAUCCUCUUUAGUAAAGAUGCCAACGUAUCCUGUAUUCAAAGCUCUUUGCCAGGGGGUUCACCUUGCUGCAGUCUGCACCUCGUGUCUAUGCUCUGUGGUUUGUGGUGGAGAUGAUUGCUUUGGCAACUGCCCUUCAGGGCUGCUAGCACCCUGGCAGCCAUCCUACAGCCACAUGAGAGCCACCUAAACAGGAUGUUCUCUCCAGCUUCCAGGACCCCCAGGAUGCAUUCCUGUCGCCAAUGAGAUCUUUACUUCUGUGGCUGAUGGGCUCUGAGUGAGCCCAGUCUGGAGAAGGGCUGCUGUCUCACCUUUCCCCAGCACCUGUGGUGGGAUGAGCUCCCCUCCCAGCAAUGGGCUGCAGAGAGGAGGAGGAAGGACGUGGCUGGGGCAGCCCAGAGCUAUUUGCAGAGCUCUGCUCUUGACCCAGGAGUAGGAUUACAGCCUUCUAGUUACACUUUCCCCGGUGCAAACCAAUGCUGAAACAGUGCUGCGAGGGCUUGGAUGCAGUGCAGCUGUAAGGAAUAACUGAGCCGUGUAUGUAAAUCUAUUAUUUUUACAGUUAUUGUGGCUUCUGCUUUGUCUCCGUUAUCUGAGAAGGCGACUCCUGGCAUUCUAAUAAAACUAUGGAGUUAAUUUUAAUUACUGACAUCUGCAGCUUGGGUUGCUAUAGAAACACAAAGAACUGCCACUUCUACAAGUUUCAUCUGUAACUUGCUGCCUGGAAAUGUGUGGGGUCUGAUUCCUCCCUCCCAUCUCACAGUAGCAAAGCAGGGAUGGCUGCUGCAUCGGUCAACUGUAAAGGCUGUACAGUGAGUAUAGGUGAGAGGAAAAUCUCCAUCUUAUCUGUGCCAUUUCUCUGUAAUUGUCAAAUAAAAUCAGUAUGUUCCCGGUUUCCUAAUGACUUUAAAAACAGUCCCCAGUCAGUUGAUGAAAGAAACUGGAGCACAAAAUGGUUGAUAUUAGAGUUGAAAAGCAGCUAUUAGGUCAUGCAGUCCCCAUGCAGAAUUGUUCCUAUGCUAUUUUUUCCUACUACUUUUCACUGUCUAAUUAUAAAUGCAGCUGCAUUUGUAACAAAAUCCCCUUCAGUUUUAGUUUUAGGGCCAGAAUCUCACACCCAGAGCACAAGUUACUGGACAAAGGAGGUUAUCCGAGUGUCUCCAUUCUGAACUCCCUUGUCAGUUUGCAGCUACCUUUGUAGGCUGAGUCUUUAAGUUUUUAUUCUUCUGUCUGGGAGUUAAUACACAGAUCACUCUGAAAGUAAUGCUUCCUAUUUAUUUCUAUGGAAACUACAGCAGAUACAAAGAGCGCAGUGACACAACUGUAUACUGCAAAUGCUCAGCUACAAAACACUACUUUUCAAUAUAGUGACCUUUAUGAGCUAUAUAUUUUUGCCAGUAAUGAACGAGGGCCUGCAUGCUGUGCUUGUAAAGCCAGCACCAGCAGAGGUGACCCACUGUCACCAUUGCUGAAACGCACCACCCGUUGCCUCGCUGUGCUCACACCCUCUGCUUGGUCUCCAUAAACAUUUAGCAAGCGUCCAUGAACGUCAGUGGGUGCAAUGAACUUUUGCAGUAGCCCUUGUUCAUCAGUAUUUGCUUUCCACAAACCUACUGUGCUGAGUGCUAAAGAGAUAGUCGAGAUAGGUGAGGAUGGUCCAGCUCGUUUAGGGCCUUUAGCAACACAGAUAUCUAGCAUAACUUUUAACAGUAGUGCAUUUGUGAAAAGCCAAAGGAAUACAUGCGGUUAAUGAGUGUAACUCUGCUAAUCUCUAUAAAAUUUCAGUGCUAACUCUGAAGCUUAUGAAGCUCUGAAGCUUAUGAAGUUCAUCACCCUGGUUGCAGAAAUAAACAAGGCAGAAAUAAAUAGGCAGAUGAACCAGUCAGGUCCCAGCUUUCCAAAGUUAAGGGUACUUCUUUAAAAAGGAUUGUGAGUAGGAUUAGAAUUGUGUCUUCAGCUUCCGUGUGAUAAAUAUGGUACAGGUUUCUGCUCUGUCUGUAACGCUUCAUCACUGCACUGUGGUACUUGAGUACAAUUCCCACUGAUUUCAACUGAUUGUCCCAUUUUUGAUAGCCAAGUGCAAGCUUUCUCUCAUACUGGCCUAAAUAACUGUAUGUGAAUUAUGCUUCACUUACAUUUCUGUGCAGGAACACAGACCUGCUUUUACAUCGCUAGCAAUGCUUUUAAUGUGGUCUUGUGAACCAUUUGGAAAUACAGUUAGUUCUGCUUCCACUGAGGUCUGGAAGCUCUUUCCCAGCAAGGCAAUGUUUGGUGGUACUGUAUAACAUGACAGCAAAGUGGUUUUGAGAUAAGGAAA
ensembl:lncRNA